rnacentral:rRNA from 1 species
AACGAACGCUGGCGGCAGGCUUAACACAUGCAAGUCGAGCGCCCCGCCAGGGGAGCGGCAGACGGGUGAGUAACGCGUGGGAACGUACCUUUUGGUUCGGAACAACUCCGGGAAACUGGAGCUAAUACCGGAUAAGCCCUAACGGGGAAAGAUUUAUCGCCGAAAGAUCGGCCCGCGUCUGAUUAGCUAGUUGGUGAGGUAACGGCUCACCAAGGCGACGAUCAGUAGCUGGUCUGAGAGGAUGAUCAGCCACACUGGGACUGAGACACGGCCCAGACUCCUACGGGAGGCAGCAGUGGGGAAUAUUGGACAAUGGGCACAAGCCUGAUCCAGCCAUGCCGCGUGAGUGAUGAAGGCCUUAGGGUUGUAAAGCUCUUUUGUCCGGGAAGAUAAUGACUGUACCGGAAGAAUAAGCCCCGGCUAACUUCGUG